rfam:Gossypium raimondii Chr02_contig_1478, whole genome shotgun sequence.
AAUUAAAAUUUUUAUCCAUUUGUACUGUUAAAAACUAGAGUGGUUGACGGGAUAACCAGAAGUGACACGUGGUGUGCCACGUGUACAUCGUGCUAGUGCACAUGGAUUAGUUUUUAACAAUAAAAAUUGAUGGAAUUUUUAAUA